GGCCUUAUAUUCAAUAAUGAUAUUAGACUGCAAUUCUGAAGGAGUAUGAAAAAUACUAAGGCUU
rnacentral:tRNA from 1 species